rnacentral:rRNA from 1 species
AGUGAACGCUGGCGGUAGGCCUAACACAUGCAAGUCGAACGGCAGCACAGUAAGAGCUUGCUCUUACGGGUGGCGAGUGGCGGACGGGUGAGGAAUACAUCGGAAUCUACUUUUUCGUGGGGGAUAACGUAGGGAAACUUACGCUAAUACCGCAUACGACCUACGGGUGAAAGCAGGGGAUCUUCGGACCUUGCGCGAUUGAAUGAGCCGAUGUCGGAUUAACUAGUUGGCGGGGUAAAGGCCCACCAAGGCGACGAUCCGUAGCUGGUCUGAGAGGAUGAGCAGCCACACUGGAACUGAGACACGGUCCAGACUCCUACGGGAGGCAGCAGUGGGGAAUAUUGGACAAUGGGCGCAAGCCUGAUCCAGCCAUACCGCGUGGGUGAAGAAGGCCUUCGGGUUGUAAAGCCCUUUUGUUGGGAAAGAAAAGCAGCAGGUUAAUACCCCGCUGUUCUGACGGUACCCAAAGAAUAAGCACCGGCUAACUUCGUG